GCUGGAAUCGCUAGUAAUCGCGAAUCAGCAUGUCGCGGUGAAUACGUUCCCGGGUCUUGUACACACCGCCCGUCACACCAUGGGAGUUGGUAACGCCCGAAGUCAGUGACCUAACCGCAAGGGAGGAGCUGCCGAAGGUGGGGCCAGUAACUGGGGUGAAGUCGUAACAAGGUACC
rnacentral:rRNA from 1 species